UGACAGGUCUGGGUCUGGCCCCUGAUGGCCAGUCUCU
rnacentral:piRNA from 1 species